rnacentral:rRNA from 1 species
UGGGUAACCUGCCUGUAAGACUGGGAUAACUCCGGGAAACCGGGGCUAAUACCGGAUGGUUGUUUGAACCGCAUGGUUCAAACAUAAAAGGUGGCUUCGGCUACCACUUACAGAUGGACCCGCGGCGCAUUAGCUAGUUGGUGAGGUAACGGCUCACCAAGGCAACGAUGCGUAGCCGACCUGAGAGGGUGAUCGGCCACACUGGGACUGAGACACGGCCCAGACUCCUACGGGAGGCAGCAGUAGGGAAUCUUCCGCAAUGGACGAAAGUCUGACGGAGCAACGCCGCGUGAGUGAUGAAGGUUUUCGGAUCGUAAAGCUCUGUUGUUAGGGAAGAACAAGUACCGUUCAAAUAGGGCGGCACCUUGACGGUACCUAACCAGAAAGCCACGGCUAACUACGUGCCAGCAGCCGCGGUAAUACGUAGGUGGCAAGCGUUGUCCGGAAUUAUUGGGCGUAAAGGGCUCGCAGGCGGUUUCUUAAGUCUGAUGUGAAAGCCCCCGGCUCAACCGGGGAGGGUCAUUGGAAACUGGGGAACUUGAGUGCAGAAGAGGAGAGUGGAAUUCCACGUGUAGCGGUGAAAUGCGUAGAGAUGUGGAGGAACACCAGUGGCGAAGGCGACUCUCUGGUCUGUAACUGACGCUGAGGAGCGAAAGCGUGGGGAGCGAACAGGAUUAGAUACCCUGGUAGUCCACGCCGUAAACGAUGAGUGCUAAGUGUUAGGGGGUUUCCGCCCCUUAGUGCUGCAGCUAACGCAUUAAGCACUCCGCCUGGGGAGUACGGUCGCAAGACUGAAACUCAAAGGAAUUGACGGGGGCCCGCACAAGCGGUGGAGCAUGUGGUUUAAUUCGAAGCAACGCGAAGAACCUUACCAGGUCUUGACAUCCUCUGACAAUCCUAGAGAUAGGACGUCCCCUUCGGGGGCAGAGUGACAGGUGGUGCAUGGUUGUCGUCAGCUCGUGUCGUGAGAUGUUGGGUUAAGUCCCGCAACGAGCGCAACCCUUGAUCUUAGUUGCCAGCAUUCAGUUGGGCACUCUAAGGUGACUGCCGGUGACAAACCGGAGGAAGGUGGGGAUGACGUCAAAUCAUCAUGCCCCUUAUGACCUGGGCUACACACGUGCUACAAUGGACAGAACAAAGGGCAGCGAAACCGCGAGGUUAAGCCAAUCCCACAAAUCUGUUCUCAGUUCGGAU